rnacentral:tRNA from 1 species
GCCAGUGUUUCUCAGUGGUUAGAGCAUUGGCCUGUGAACCAAAAGGUCACAGGUUCAAUUCCUAGUCAAGGGCA